CCUACGGGAGGCUGCAGUGAGGAAUAUUGGUCAAUGGACGAGAGUCUGAACCAGCCAAGUAGCGUGAAGGAUGACUGCUCUAUGGGUUGUAAACUUCUUUUAUAUGGGAAUAAAAUGUUCCACGUGUCGGAUUUUGUAUGUACCAUAUGAAUAAGGAUCGGCUAACUCCGUGCCAGCAGCCGCGGUAAUACGGAGGAUCCGAGCGUUAUCCGGAUUUAUUGGGUUUAAAGGGAGCGUAGGUGGAUUGUUAAGUCAGUUGUGAAAGUUUGCGGUUCAACCGUAGAAUUGCAGUUGAAACUGGCAGUCUUGAGUACAGUAGAGGUGGGCGGAAUGCGUGGUGUAGCGGUGAAAUGCUUAGAUAUCACGAAGAACUCCGAUUGCGAAGGCAGCUCGCUAGGCUGUGACUGACGCUGAGGCACGAAAGUGUGGGUAUCAAACAGGAUUAGAUACCCGGGUAGUC
rnacentral:rRNA from 1 species